rnacentral:tRNA from 3 species
GCGGAUGUCGUAUAAUGGUUAUUAUCUCGGUUUUCCAAACCGAUGACGCCGGUUCGAUUCCGGUCAUCCGCUCAA